AUAGGAUGUGAACCACGCGGUUUUGGCCGUUGGUUAUGGAGUUGAAGACGGUGUACCAUAUUGGCUUAUUAAGAACUCAUGGGGAGCGGAUUGGGGCGACAAAGGUUACUUCAAGAUGGAGAUGGGGAAGAACAUGUGUGGUA
rnacentral:sRNA from 1 species